CCAUGCCGCGUGCAGGAUGACUGCCCUAUGGGUUGUAAACUGCUUUUGUCCAGGAAUAAACCCAGAUACGUGUAUCUGGCUGAAUGUACUGGAAGAAUAAGGAUCGGCUAACUCCGUGCCAGCAGCCGCGGUAAUACGGAGGAUCCGAGCGUUAUCCGGAUUUAUUGGGUUUAAAGGGUGCGUAGGCGGCCUAUUAAGUCAGGGGUGAAAUACGGUGGCUCAACCAUCGCAGUGCCUUUGAUACUGAUGGGCUUGAAUCCAUUUGAAGUGGGCGGAAUAAGACAAGUAGCGGUGAAAUGCAUAGAUAUGUCUUAGAACUCCGAUUGCGAAGGCAGCUCACUAAGCUGGUAUUGACGCUGAUGCACGAAAGCGUGGGGAUCGAACAGGAUUAGAUACCCUGGUAGUCCACGCCCUAAACGAUGAUAACUCGAUGUUGGCGAUAGACAGCCAGCGUCCCAGCGAAAGCGUUAAGUUAUCCACCUGGGGAGUACGCCCGCAAGGGUGAAACUC
rnacentral:rRNA from 1 species